rnacentral:rRNA from 1 species
AUUGAACGCUGGCGGCAUGCCUUACACAUGCAAGUCGAACGGUAACGGGCCUUCGGGUGCCGACGAGUGGCGAACGGGUGAGUAAUGUAUCGGAACGUACCUUUCAGUGGGGGGAUAACGUAGCGAAAGUUACGCUAAUACCGCAUAUUCUGUGCGCAGGAAAGCAGGGGAUCGCAAGACCUUGCGCUGAUUGAGCGGCCGAUAUCAGAUUAGCUAGUUGGUGAGGUAAAGGCUCACCAAGGCGACGAUCUGUAGCGGGUCUGAGAGGAUGAUCCGCCACACUGGAACUGAGACACGGUCCAGACUCCUACGGGAGGCAGCAGUGGGGAAUUUUGGACAAUGGGGGCAACCCUGAUCCAGCCAUGCCGCGUGAGUGAAGAAGGCCUUCGGGUUGUAAAGCUCUUUCGGCCGGGAGAAAUCGUAUGGGUUAAUACCCUGUGCGGAUGACGGUACCGGCAUAAGAAGCACCGGCUAACUACGUGCCAGCAGCCGCGGGUAAACCG